AAAGACAUGGGUUAUCAGAUGAAAAUCUCAGUGCCAAUGGUGAGACAGUUCCCUGUAAGGAUUAGCUUUAACUGUCAACCUGACUCAACCUAGAACCACCCGGAAAAGAAUGUCAACCAAGGAAUGAUUUAGAUAUAUUGGAUUGCAGAAUAUUUUAUCACAGCAGUAGAAAAGAAACCAGCAUACAUCAUGAAUUCUUGGUUAGAGAAGCCCCAGGGAAAUCCAUGCCAGCACAAGCUGCUGCCAUUGCUUUUGGAUGCUCAUCAUAACUAGAUGGCCCGAUAUGCUUGUCAACGGGUGGCCACGGCCCACAGCUGACUUCCUCCGUUAUCAGACUCGUCCAGCCCCGAGUGCUGCUUCCCCUGUGCCCAGGGUCGAGCCAGAGAGGGGCUCUUUGGUUCACACAACCCCUAAUUCAGGAAGCCACAGCUGGGCAGUACUCCCUGCUGUCUGACCUGCCACCCUUGGAUAGUGUCAGCUCAACGUUACAAGCAACUAAAAAAAAUCCAUCUGCGGAGGGAUAGAGGCAGGUCAUCUUGUUUCAUGAUUUGUAUUCCUGCUGCCAGAGCUAGUUAUCAUUUUUUUCUUUUAAGAAAAACUGCCAAAAUCACAACAAAAAAAUUAACACCACCAACAAACCUUUAUAACAAUGGAGGUGACAGCAGCAGCAGCACCACCACCACCAUCAUCAUCAUCAUCAUCAUCAUCAUCAUCAUCAUCAUCAUCAUCAUCAGCAGCAGCAGCAGCAGCAGCAGCAGCAGCAGCAGCAGCAGCAGCAGCAGCAGCAGCAGCAGCAGCAUUUGAUGUAGUCAGACCCAUCCAGACUGUGGGGAGUAACGUGGCCUAGCAUCUCAGAUUAAAUAAGGGAUCAAAACCAAACUGAACAACAGCAUUCCUAUCUCUCUGCUUCCCAGCUGCAGGUAUUAGAAAACCAGCCACCAUGACAUUUCUGCCAUGAUGCGCCAUCAAACUGUGAGCAAAAAUAAACACCUCC